rnacentral:tRNA from 1 species
UCCCUGGUGGUCCAGUGGCUAAGACACUGUGCUUCCAAUGUAGGGAGCCUAGGUUCGAUCCCUAGUGAAGGAA